rnacentral:rRNA from 1 species
GACGAACGCUGGCGGCGUGCUUAACACAUGCAAGUCGAACGGAAAGGCCCUGCUUUUGUGGGGUGCUCGAGUGGCGAACGGGUGAGUAACACGUGAGUAACCUGCCCUUGACUUUGGGAUAACUUCAGGAAACUGGGGCUAAUACCGGAUAGGAGCUCCUGCUGCAUGGUGGGGGUUGGAAAGUUUCGGCGGUUGGGGAUGGACUCGCGGCUUAUCAGCUUGUUGGUGGGGUAGUGGCUUACCAAGGCUUUGACGGGUAGUCGGCCUGAGAGGGUGACCGGCCACAUUGGGACUGAGAUACGGCCCAGACUCCUACGGGAGGCAGCAGUGGGGAAUAUUGCACAAUGGGCGGAAGCCUGAUGCAGCAACGCCGCGUGCGGGAUGACGGCCUUCGGGCUGUAAACCGCUUUCGCCUGUGACGAAGCGUGAGUGACGGUAAUGGGUAAAGAAGCACCGGCUAACUACGUG